GGUGGGAGGCUUUGAAGUGUGGACGCCAGUCUGCAUGGAGCCGACCUUGAAAUACCACCCUUUAAUGUUUGAUGUUCUAACGUGGACCCGUAAUCCGGGUUGCGGACAGUGUCUGGUGGGUAGUUUGACUGGGGCGGUCUCCUCCUAAAGAGUAACGGAGGAGCACGAAGGUUGGCUAAUCCUGGUCGGACAUCAGGAGGUUAGUGCAAUGGCAUAAGCCAGCUUGACUGCGAGCGUGACGGCGCGAGCAGGUGCGAAAGCAGGUCAUAGUGAUCCGGUGGUUCUGAAUGGAAGGGCCAUCGCUCAACGGAUAAAAGGUACUCCGGGGAUAACAGGCUGAUACCGCCCAAGAGUUCAUAUCGACGGCGGUGUUUGGCACCUCGAUGUCGGCUCAUCACAUCCUGGGGCUGAAGUAGGUCCCAAGGGUAUGGCUGUUCGCCAUUUAAAGUGGUACGCGAGCUGGGUUUAGAACGUCGUGAGACAGUUCGGUCCCUAUCUGCCGUGGGCGCUGGAGAACUGAGGGGGGCUGCUCCUAGUACGAGAGGACCGGAGUGGACGCAUCACUGGUGUUCGGGUUGUCAUGCCAAUGGCACUGCCCGGUAGCUAAAUGCGGAAGAGAUAAGUGCUGAAAGCAUCUAAGCACGAAACUUGCCCCGAGAUGAGUUCUCCCUGAGACUUAG
rnacentral:rRNA from 1 species